GAUGAACGCUGGCGGCGUGCCUAAUACAUGCAAGUCGAGCGAACGGACGAGAAGCUUGCUUCUCUGAUGUUAGCGGCGGACGGGUGAGUAACACGUGGAUAACCUACCUAUAAGACUGGGAUAACUUCGGGAAACCGGAGCUAAUACCGGAUAAUAUUUUGAACCGCAUGGUUCAAAAGUGAAAGACGGUCUUGCUGUCACUUAUAGAUGGAUCCGCGCUGCAUUAGCCAGUUGGUAAGGUAACGGCUUACCAAGGCAACGAUGCAUAGCCGACCUGAGAGGGUGAUCGGCCACACUGGAAGUGAGACACGGUCCAGACUACUACGGGAGGCAGCAGUAGGGAAUCUUCCGCAAUGGGCGAAAGCCUGACGGAGCAACGCCGCGUGAGUGAUGAAGGUCUUCGGAUCGUAAAACUCUGUUAUUAGGGAAGAACAUAUGUGUAAGUAACUGUGCACAUCUUGACGGUACCUAAUCAGAAAGCCACGGCUAACUACGUG
rnacentral:rRNA from 1 species